rnacentral:lncRNA from 10 species
UAAACCUUUGCCUUGGCCAGGUUGGCCCAGAGCACAGGUGAGCAGGGAGGAGGCUGGAAACCCGAGAAGCAUGGACUCUGCUAGGUCCCAGUGCACUGGGACAGUCUUGAGGGGCGGGAGGAAGAAGCCUGGGGCAGCCUGUGCCUGACCUCACAGACCUGCAAAGGGGCCCCGGCUCUGCCUUGAGGUCCUCUUACAAACAGGUCACUUCCUGAGGGCUUCCCACCCUCUAGUCUGUGUGUAUCUAUGACUGGGAAAGGGGUCCUCACCUGUAGUCCGGGGGCUCCUCAACUCUGUCUGGUUUCUCUUUGCAGGACACAGGACUGUUCAGAGAAGCUGUCUUUCUGUGCAUUUGUUGGUUGCUAGGGAAAAACAGGCCCAUAUCAGGAAGGGGGCUUCAUGAGGACACCUUUCCCUAACAGCCCCACCAUGCCCAUGGCCGCUGCCUCUGGCCCCCACCCAAGACUGGCCCUGAUAUUGAGGGUGACACUGAAAAUGUCACAGUUCAGAGGCAGCAGCGCAGGCAGAGGUUCUGGGAUGGCUGACGGAGUAGGCGGGUCUCACACAGCGUCUUUCCCGAAAGCCAGAAGUUCUGCUUAUGCCUAGGCUGGGAGGAAAAUCAACCUGUCUACCUCAUCUCCAGUGCCAGGCAGCUCGUAGGCCAGGCUGAGUGAGGCCUCUAGCCCCACCCUUGAGGAGGCACACUGAGAGGGAGGACCCUGAGACUCGCUUAUGCCGAGAACAAAAGUGUCCAAAGUACCCGCGCAGCAUGACUGUAAACCAUCAGGUUCCGGGAAAGUAGGCUGAGCACAGGAGGCCUUAUCAAAGCUCAGGAGCUGAUGCGCUGAAGGUGUGGGAGGUGGACGCCCAUCAGCCUACAGGUGAGUGUGGCCAGGAGGGGAGGAGCCGUCUUAUACCAGGAAGUGGCCUCAGCCACCUUGGACAGUCAGGACAGCUUGAUGAUGAGAGCCAAACCAUCUCAAAAAUGUCCCUGAGGGAGAGCGUAGGAGGGAACAGAUCCUCUCUCCCUGGGCAGGUCGGGCUCUCCAAUGGCCUUUGAGUUCCUGCCUCCACUAAUCGCUCCAAAGAAUCAUUACCCUGUUCCUGCUCCUCCAGGCUACACAUCAAUAAAGCCUGAGCCGUCAAGCCAGCCCCAACCAAGUGGGCCCAGGGGCUGACCAAGAAAGAGAGGGUGGCCAAGAAGCAGGGCCGUGCUGGGGCAGUGUGGUGGUCAGGAACAGGUAACAAGGUCACGUGCAGUGGUCCUGCUGCAGAUUAGGAGCUGGAGCCUGGAACCUACAAAUCUCAAUGCUCAGUCACCCUCCGCUCUGUGACUGAGGCCAGCCAAAGUUCUCUUCUUCAAGAACAGAGUUUUCGCCUCAGCCCAAGAUCUGCCAGGACCCUCAGAGAUUGAUUCAGCCUCACCCGCUCCCACCAUACCAUUGUACAGAUUAUGAAACUGAGACCUGCCAAGGGACAGGCUGUGUCCGGUCCUACAGUGAACAGCCAGUGACCUCACCCACAAAAUCAGCCCAGCCAUGGCCAUGUGGCCUGGUUACCUCUGUCCUCAACCUUAGAGAGGAUUUUGCCACACAUAUCAACAUAUACCUACAACAGUCUUGUGAAGUGACAGAUUUUGCUAGAGAUUUGACUCUCAAAGUUGAUUUCUGGAUUUAUUUGGUUCCAUCAUGUCACAUUUCACAGAGGUUUUUUUUUUUCCCUUGAUUUUUAAAGAUUAUAGAAAAUAUGAAAAAUAUAUAUAAGAUCAAAAUCACCUAAAGAUUCCCCAAAAAUCACCCAA